ensembl:lncRNA LINC01605 long intergenic non-protein coding RNA 1605
CAACUGGAGGGUUUUUCUGAGAGAGAAGUGAGCAUCAAAUACAUUCCUCAUCUUGCCCUCUCUAGAUGAAGGUUGCUUGAGCAGGAAAUCCACCCAUGGCCCAAAGAGGAAAGAUCCGCUUUAAAUGCCUGGGCAUAUACUUCCAAGAACCAGAUGUGGCCUGUUCCUUACACCUCCCUGGGCUUAGAUGACAGCUUGAACUCUGCGGCUGAUGGAAUUGAGCAGAUGGGAAUGACCUGGAAUCUAACACUCUACAAUUCAGACACACCACUGUCCACUUGUCCCUCCCUUCCUGCCACUGGCCCUGCCAGCGUACCUUGUGUACUUCGCAAAGGUCACUGGCUCCUGUUUUAUGUAAUGACUGACAGACGAUCUCGCCCAGCUCAGCAAUGUGAACAGACACCUUGCAUGGUGCCGGUGGUGGGUGCGGUUGUUUCUGGAUGUCAUGGAAGAGGCUGGGGCAUACCAGGGCUUUCCCCAAUUGUGCCUAAAAUAAAUUGGCUCUUGGGA